UAUUGGACAAUGGGCGAAAGCCUGAUCCAGCAAUACCGCGUGUGUGAAGAAGGCCUUAGGGUUGUAAAGCACUUUCAAUUGGGAGGAAAACCUACCGGUCAAUACCCGGUAGCUUGACAUUACCUUUAGAAGAAGCACCGGCUAACUCCGUGCCAGCAGCCGCGGUAAUACGGAGGGUGCGAGCGUUAAUCGGAAUUACUGGGCGUAAAGCGUGCGUAGGCGGUUCGUUAAGUCAGAUGUGAAAGCCCUGGGCUCAACCUGGGAACGGCAUUUGAAACUGGCGGACUAGAGUUUAGUAGAGGGGAGUGGAAUUUCAGGUGUAGCGGUGAAAUGCGUAGAUAUCUGAAGGAACACCAGUGGCGAAGGCGACUCCCUGGACUAGAACUGACGCUGAGGACGAAG
rnacentral:rRNA from 1 species